rnacentral:rRNA from 1 species
CCUACGGGAGGCUGCAGUGAGGAAUAUUGGUCAAUGGGCGUAAGCCUGAACCAGCCAAGUCGCGUGAGGGAUGAAGGUUCUAUGGAUCGUAAACCUCUUUUGUAAGGGAAUAAAGUGCGGGACGUGCCCCGUUUUGUAUGUACCUUAUGAAUAAGGUUCGGCUAACUCCGUGCCAACAGCCGCGGGAAUACGGAGGUUCCGAGCGUUAUCCGGAUUUAUUGGGUUUAAAGGGUGCGUAGGCGGGCGUUUAAGUCAGCGGUGAAAGUCUGUGGCUCAACCAUAACAUAGCCGUUGAAACUGGGGGGCUUGAGUGUGUUUGAGGCAGGCGGAAUGCGUGGUGUAGCGGUGAAAUGCUUAGAUAUCACGCAGAACCCCGAUUGCGAAGGCAGCCUGCCAGGGCAUGACUGACGCUGAUGCACGAAAGCGUGGGGAUCAAACAGGAUUAGAUACCCGAGUAGUC